rnacentral:rRNA from 1 species
UACGUAGGGGGCUAGCGUUGUCCGGAAUCAUUGGGCGUAAAGCGCGUGUAGGCGGUCCGGUAAGUCCGCUGUGAAAGUCGGGGGCUCAACCCUCGGAUGCCGGUGGAUACUGUCGGGCUUGAGUACGGAAGAGGCGAGUGGAAUUCCUGGUGUAGCGGUGAAAUGCGUAGAUAUCCGGAGGAACACCGGUGGCGAAGGCGGCUUCCUGGACCGACAUUGACGCUGAGGCGCGAAAGCUAGGGGAGCAAACGGG